CCUACGGGUGGCUGCAGUGGGGAAUAUUGGUCAAUGGGCGAAAGCCUGAACCAGCCACGCCGCGUGAGUGAUGAAGGCCUUCGGGUCGUAAAGCUCUGUGGGGAGGGACGAAAUCUUCGGUGUUAACAGCGCCGGAGUCUGACGGUACCUCCUUAGCAAGCACCGGCUAACCCUGUGCCAGCAGCCGCGGUAAUACAGGGGGUGCAAACGUUGCUCGGAAUUAUUGGGCGUAAAGCGCACGUAGGCGGCUCGUUAUGUCGGAUGUGAAAGCCCUC
rnacentral:rRNA from 1 species